GUCACCACUGCCACCUACUGCCGAUCGUUCGUGCCAUCCUCGAAGUGUCAUGCCACUGUCAUUCUCUCCACCUCUUUCAAACUCAUUAUUUUCUCUUUCACUUCAUCUCCCUCAUUAUAGCUCUAAAUUUUCACCUAGAACCGUCGAACCGCUUUCAUUGUCACCUCUGUCCCUACACUAAACUGAAUCCACAAAUGCGUCCUAUACGUUCGAUGAAGAUUGAUAUUUUGAGGGUAAUACACUUGCUUGAAAAGUGGCGGAUGGCGUUCAAAUUAAGGUGGAAGCCCUACAGUGAAAGGUCUGUUUAGUGGAAGUAUAGAGAGGAAGGAGUGAUGUUUGUGAAGGGAAGUUCUUGAUUUUAAGCUUUGCAAAAUAUGGAGUGGUGGGUGUGUCGACUCCAGCCAGACUCAUCAAUUUGGUGGCAAAAGAAAGUUUUGAGGGUCGAUAUAUCAUCAACUCAAUAUAGAGGUUGAUUUAGGGGUUUUGUUUUUAUGUUGUGAUUAUGAU
rnacentral:lncRNA from 1 species